rnacentral:rRNA from 1 species
GACGAACCGUGCGAACGUUAUUCGGAAUCAUUGGGCUUAAAGGGCGCGUAGGCGGCGGUGUAAGUUGGAAGUGAAAUCCCAUCGGCUCAACCGUGGAAUUGCUCCCAGUACUGCAUCGCUCGAGGGGGAUAGGGGUCUGCGGAACUACCGGUGGAGCGGUGAAAUGUGUUGAUAUCGGUGGGAACGCCAGUGGCGAAAGCGGCAGACUUGACCCUUCCUGACGCUGAUGCGCGAAAGCUAGGGGAGCAAACGGG